rnacentral:rRNA from 1 species
AACUUUUAACAACGGAUCUCUUGACUCUCGCAUCGAUGAAGAACGCAGCGAAAUGCGAUAAGUAAUGUGAAUUGCAGAAUUCAGUGAAUCAUCGAAUCUUUGAACGCACCUUGCGCCCUUUGGUAUUCCGAAGGGCAUGCCUGUUUGAGUGUC